UACGGAGGAUGCAAGCGUUAUCCGGAAUGAUUGGGCGUAAAGCGUCCGCAGGUGGUUAUACAAGUCUGCUGUCAAAGCGCAAGGCUCAACCUUGUAAAGGCAGUGGAAACUGUGUGACUAGAGAGUGAUAGGGGCAGAGGGAAUUCCUGGUGUAGCGGUGAAAUGCGUAGAGAUCAGGAAGAACACCGGUGGCGAAAGCGCUCUGCUAGGCCGCAACUGACACUGAGGGACGAAAGCUAGGGGAGCGAAUGGG
rnacentral:rRNA from 1 species